CCUACGGGUGGCAGCAGUGGGGAAUAUUGGGCAAUGGGCGAAAGCCUGACCCAGCAACGCCGCUUGCAUUCCUCCUUCUUUCUUUUUUUCCCCUUCUUUUUCCCUUUCCUCUCAGAAGACGGUACCUGUCGAAUAAGCCACGGCUAACUACGUGCCAGCAGCCGCGGUAAUACGUAGGUGUCAAGCGUUGUCCGUGUUGACUGGGUGUAACGUCCUUGGAGCCGGGCUGACAAGUCAGAUGUGAAAUCCGGGGGCUCAACCCCCGAACUGCAGUUGAAACUGUUGGUCUUGAGUAUCGGAGAGGCAGGCGGAAUUCAUGGUGUAGAGGUGAAAUGCGUAGAUAUUAGGAGGAACACCAGUGGCGAAGGCGGCCUGCUGGACGACAAAUGAAGGUGAGGCGCGAAAGAGUGGGGAGCAAACAGGAGUAGAGAAAAAAGUAGUC
rnacentral:rRNA from 1 species